GGGCCUGAUGGGGGAUGGCCUGGAAUGAGAGGGUCAAGCCAGGCCUGGGGGGCCUGUUGGGGGAUCUGGGGAGCUGGACAGAGGGUGGAGGGUGGCUGGCAGGUGACUCCUUCUCAGAUGUCAGUGCCCCUCUGCUCAGACCUGGGCACUGACUGGCAAGGACCUUACCUCCUCCUGGUGACAGGAACCUAGGUGCUUGGCUCUUCCUGGGUCAAGGAUGCUCACAUCCUGCCCACACCGGCCACUGUGGGGCUUAGACAUGUUGACUCUAAAUCUCUUUCUUUCCUGGAUGAGGGAGCGUGUUUCAGGAACAACCCAGAAACAUCAAGCAAGGAAACUGGGGUAAAUCCCCAGGCUGGGGGAAAGCAGGGGGUCUCCAGGUUAAACCCAGGCCUCUGGAGGCAAAGCACAGGGCAGGGCCUUGUUGCUGCCUCCACCAUCAUGCUCCUGAGGAGCCCCACCAAGGUCCAGAGGAGAGAGGCCAGGUGCCCGUCCUACCCUGGGUGAGUCUCAGCCCUUUGCUUCCGCAGCCCAGCUUCCAGCUCCAGGGCCCAAGAAGGGACCUGCCGCCAUCCUUGUGUCUGGGAGGGCCUGUGUCGGGCCCCUGCACCGAGGGGCUUCCUCUGUCUCUCUGGGGGUGGCUGUGGGCUGGAG
rnacentral:lncRNA from 1 species